CCCUUAGAUGUUCUGGGCCGCACGCGCGCUACACUGAUGCAUUCAACGAGCCUAUCCUUGACCGACAGGUCCGGGUAAUCUUUGAAUCUGCAUCGUGACGGGGAUAGAUUAUUGCAAUUAUUAAUCUUCAACGAGGAAUGCCUAGUAGGCGCAAGUCAUCAGCUUGCGUCGAUUACGUCCCUGCCCUUUGUACACACCGCCCGUCGCUCCUACCGAUUGGGUGUACUGGUGAAAUGUUCGGAUCGGCCGUUUGUCGCGGUUUCCGCGUCAUGUGGCUGAGAAGUUCAUUAAACCCUCCCACCUAGAGGAAGGAGAAGUCGUAACA
rnacentral:rRNA from 1 species